UACGAAGGGUGCAAGCGUUACUCGGAAUUACUGGGCGUAAAGCGUGCGUAGGUGGUCGUUUAAGUCCGUUGUGAAAGCCCUGGGCUCAACCUGGGAACUGCAGUGGAUACUGGACGACUAGAGUGUGGUAGAGGGUAGCGGAAUUCCUGGUGUAGCAGUGAAAUGCGUAGAGAUCAGGAGGAACAUCCAUGGCGAAGGCAGCUACCUGGACCAACACUGACACUGAGGCACGAAAGCGUGGGGAGCAAACAGGAUUAGAUACCCUGGUAGUCCACGCCCUAAACGAUGCGAACUGGAUGUUGGGUGCAAUUUGGCACGCAGUAUCGAAGCUAACGCGUUAAGUUCGCCGCCUGGGGAGUACGGUCGCAAGACUGAA
rnacentral:rRNA from 1 species